rnacentral:misc_RNA from 1 species
GAGAUUAUGUCGAAAUUUUGAUAAGACUUUGAGAUUUAUUUUUGUUUAUGUAAAUUAGAUUAAUUGGUUAAUAAAUUGAUAGAGGCUACUGUUUCUUUAUAGGUGAUCAGUGUUGGCUAGCCUUUAUUUUCUCCAGCCAGACCAGCGGCAAUCGGAUUGACCAAUAUGCGAGUUAUAUAUUGAUUAUUUUUGUAAUUUCAAUAUUAAUUAUAUAUAUCAAGCAUGCUCAUAUAUUUUAUAAAUA